CUUGAUGUUUUACAAUAUUGGAAGGAAAAUCAAGUAAGGUAUCCAAAACUGGCUAUAAUGGCUCGCGAUAUAUUGAGCAUCCCGAUUACUACUGUUGCUUCCGAAUCAUCUUUCAGUAUUGGAGGUCGGGUGUUAAGUAAGUAUCGAACUUCAUUGCUAUCAUCAAAUGUUGAAGCAUUGCUAUGCACACGUGAUUGGUUAUUUGAUUUAAAAGAUGAAAACGAGAACGAAAUGGAUGAAGAUCUUGUUGAAGACAUUGAAGCAUUGAUUCCAACUUUUGGCAACUUUUAGGGACUUUAAAGGAAGCAUCCAUGAAGAAGCGCAAUUCGUCAAGACGUUUUGUAUGUUAUUGAAUUAG